rnacentral:rRNA from 1 species
UUUUAUGAGAGUUUGAUCCUGGCUCAGGACGAACGCUGGCGGCGUGCCUAAUACAUGCAAGUCGAACGCUUCUUUUUCCACCGGAGCUUGCUCCACCGGAAAAAGAGGAGUGGCGAACGGGUGAGUAACACGUGGGUAACCUGCCCAUCAGAAGGGGAUAACACUUGGAAACAGGUGCUAAUACCGUAUAACAAUCGAAACCGCAUGGUUUUGAUUUGAAAGGCGCUUUCGGGUGUCGCUGAUGGAUGGACCCGCGGUGCAUUAGCUAGUUGGUGAGGUAACGGCUCACCAAGGCCACGAUGCAUAGCCGACCUGAGAGGGUGAUCGGCCACAUUGGGACUGAGACACGGCCCAAACUCCUACGGGAGGCAGCAGUAGGGAAUCUUCGGCAAUGGACGAAAGUCUGACCGAGCAACGCCGCGUGAGUGAAGAAGGUUUUCGGAUCGUAAAACUCUGUUGUUAGAGAAGAACAAGGAUGAGAGUAACUGUUCAUCCCUUGACGGUAUCUAACCAGAAAGCCACGGCUAACUACGUGCCAGCAGCCGCGGUAAUACGUAGGUGGCAAGCGUUGUCCGGAUUUAUUGGGCGUAAAGCGAGCGCAGGCGGUUUCUUAAGUCUGAUGUGAAAGCCCCCGGCUCAACCGGGGAGGGUCAUUGGAAACUGGGAGACUUGAGUGCAGAAGAGGAGAGUGGAAUUCCAUGUGUAGCGGUGAAAUGCGUAGAUAUAUGGAGGAACACCAGUGGCGAAGGCGGCUCUCUGGUCUGUAACUGACGCUGAGGC